UUUUGGCGCUCAUUGAUGGAGAAUACGCAUGGCAGAAUAAAGAGGUUCCUUUAAGUGACUGCGUAAUAUUAAAAGACAAGUAAAAAAAAAAAAAGAUGGGGCUUAAAAUAAAUAAAAAAAAAAAGAAAAAAAGAGGGCUUUUUCGAACUUGAGGUAGCGCAGGAAUGGCUGUUUUUUUUUUUUCCGAAAAAAAGCCUUCUGCGAGGGGGCUGAAAUCCCGGCUGCCGGGGACGGAAGCGGCGAUAAAAGCGUCCGUUGCGGGGCCAGAGAACAAACCCCGCGACGGCUGACCGGUUACGGGUGCGGCAGAGCGCGGUGCUGCCGCCGCCGGGGCAGAGCGGAGCGAUGAGGGAAGCGAAACCUCCGCCUCCAGCGCUGGCGGGGACUGCGGAGCGGGAAGCGGCCAUUACCCUCCCCCCGCCCCGGCCCCGCGCGGCACCGCGGGCUUUUCAAAUCCCUCCCACGGCCCAAUGGGAUGUGCGCCGUCCCGCCAGCCAAUCACAGGGCGGUGCGGGCUAUAAAUAGCGGGCCCCGCCACCGCUCUCUCCGCAGACUCUCGUCUCUCUCACUCGCUGCCCAGUGGCCUUUACAGGGGAAGAUGGCGCGCACGAAGCAGACGGCGCGUAAGUCGACGGGCGGGAAGGCGCCCCGCAAGCAGCUGGCCACCAAGGCGGCCCGCAAGAGCGCGCCGGCCACGGGCGGCGUGAAGAAGCCGCACCGCUACCGGCCCGGCACGGUGGCGCUGCGCGAGAUCCGGCGCUACCAGAAGUCGACGGAGCUGCUGAUCCGCAAACUGCCCUUCCAGCGCCUGGUGCGCGAGAUCGCGCAGGACUUCAAGACCGACCUGCGCUUCCAGAGCUCGGCCGUCAUGGCGCUGCAGGAGGCCAGCGAGGCCUACCUGGUGGGGCUCUUCGAGGACACCAACCUCUGCGCCAUCCACGCCAAGCGCGUCACCAUCAUGCCCAAGGACAUCCAGCUGGCCCGACGCAUCCGCGGCGAGCGCGCUUAAGCUUCUGGCCGAAGGGAUCUCUCAAGACUUGCGAAAACCCAAAGGCUCUUUUAAGAGCCACCACUUGGCCACUUAAGAGAGCUGUAAACUCCUAAUUCUCUGUAGGAAGUAGUAUAAUCCCACAUCCUUUUCCGGUAGUCUUACAGCGACCAAGAACCCCCGUAUCUCAUCAAGAGAGGCUGAACUGAUGAAUGCUGCCGGGUAGGACCUGGCUCUGUGUAUGACCAGUUUGGGCUGCCUCACAAGUGAAUCACCUGUUGGUUACAGUCUCCAGUAACCACAAACUGAAGUCUGAUCAGGUUUCCCAUUGGCUUGGGCAGUCCUGUCUUGCUGCAUCCUUUCUUCUCUCCCACGUUCAGGUCAUGUUGUAUCUUCAGCUGGAUAUAAUAAGCAUCUUUCAGAUUGUACAUGUAGAAAAAUUGCUGUCACAAAAGUGUGAACAUUUGCUAAGUUCUUGUAUUGUAUGUAGGUGAGCUUUUGGAAGUUCUGUUUGUCAGCUACUAUGAAGCAAUAGUGAAAAGGGAAUCUCUAUUCUCAGCAAGGUGUAACUGAAGUACAAAUGGUUAACAACAAAAAGGCAACCUCCUCAAGGAAUAUAAUAUCUAAAUCAAUGCUAACCAAAACCAAAUUUUAUAAAAACAGCUGAUAGUUGAAAACUGUAAGCUCAAUUUGAUAUCUUGGCUUAAGGAGUCAAAAUCUUCUAACUAUAAAAUGAUGGAGUUAUAGUGUUCUGUAGAUUGUAGAAGAUGUGUUCCCCUAGAAGUUCUAAAACUGGAUCCAACAGGCAUUUCCACACCUUUUUAAAAGUUAGGAAAAUAUACAGUGUGUAGACCACAAAGAUUUGUAGAACAUACUGCUUGCCAGCACAUCAAAUUCUUUGUAACGUGGAAGUUCAGGAGAUAUUUCUAGUCUCCUUAAUCUCCUUCAUCCAUGAACGGCUCUUGCUUGUAGGACAGCACUGUGGGGAAACGCCAAAGCAUCCAGGUUGCAUUCUGUGUGAAAACUCACUUCCCACUGUAGGAGUGUCCCAGGUGACAGAACAGAGCUGCAGUGUGCGGCACCGGUACAAGGGACACCUUCCUAACUUUUGGUGAACACUUUGCUAUUCUGCAACUGGCAAAUUCUGAAGUCUUAACUUGCCUCAGAAAAGACCGAUGGCCUUUACCAUUCUGAGUUACUCAUACAACGUUAAUAACUGAAACAGUGAGCUGUGAAAAGAUUCACAUUUGUCUGGAAAUGUCAGGGGGGAACCCUCCACAGACUCACGGAAAUCUGGAAAUAAGUAGUAUAUGCAAGCACUGGAAAGAAGAGCAGAAGAAUAGUUUUAAGUAUGGAGAGUGUCAAUUGCACCUAAACAGCAGGUAAUCAGGAUCAUGAAGUAUCUACCUGCAGCUUUUCUGGGACACCCAGGUGUGAAAACAAAUCACAGCAUAAAACAAGGAACAUUAUAAACUAAAGCAAUUGAGGGAAGAUGAGAGGAAGAUAAUGAUCAGUCCUGAACCAAUAAGGCAUUCAGAAAUGGAGACAGCACUUGGUAGGUAAAUUCUAAUGGUCACAGAAGUGUUAGAGUUUGGAGACACAGAAGGAUAGAUUUUCUUUUAGGUCCUAAAACGGACGAGAGGCUGUUCAAAGAAGAGCACAUUAUAGCUGACACCUCCUCCUCCCUGGAGACCUGCUGAGGGCCCGUAGCACACAUUCCUUGUCCUGUCUGUCCUUGCAAGCAAUCCUGGCCUGUCCUUUUGCAAACUUGGUCUUUUGAGUGUGUAUGUUAAGAUGCACGACUGCAUCCACCACCUUCCCUUCCUUUCAAGUUUUUGCACUGAGCUUUGCCUCAGCACAUCGGUGUUUAGAUGUUUUUUUCUUCUUCUUUUUCUUAACGUCAGUUAAUAGUUAAUCAUACAGAUAGAACUAUCUGUUACCCAGGUUCCCCGCAGCAGUAGUGAAGGGCUUCGUUCCAGAUGUGGUUUCCUGUGUUGCAGACUGUUUUACCCUCGAGCACUGCGACAAGUUGCCAGCACAGGACUGGGGAAGAAAAUAUGUUACUGGGCUUGAUCACUCCACCUUCGUGCAUCAGCAAAGACUUGUACUAUGCUCUGUUGUGUCAUCUGUUCUGAUGCAUGUGUGGAGAUUAAAUGUAGUCAAGAUAUCCAAAAAGCUGCUCAAAUCUCCUCUGUAUCCUUUUCACUGCUCUCUUUAACCUGUAUCCUGACCCACCACUAUAACCUUCUGAAAACCUUCCAACCUUUUGUUGCAUGCCUGCCCUAUAUUACAAAUAUUCCAGGUAGUUAUGAGCACCCCUUUCUCUCUGUAUCUGUGGUUUUUGUGCAUUAUCCCAAGCACACCACUGAGCCAUCAGGAUGAAUCAGUAAAGCUAUGCAAAAUGCUGGCCUGAAAAACUCUAGUCUGUGAGGCCAUUAAUAAGGAAGAAAUUGUUCCAGAGGGCACAUAAGAUGAUUUUUCAAUAAAUGUUCAGUAUGCUCCCAUGGAUUUUAGCACAAUGUGCCAAUGUUGUAAUAUACACACAGACACAGAGCUUAAAGCUGGUGUAAGAACCACUAUGGAAUAGGGAAGAAGGAUGGUUUCUGAGACACAGACUUUCAGAAAAAGCCAAAAAUCAAAUUAAAAACUUUCUGUAUGUUUCAGGUACCAAUUCAAUGAGAUGAUCUCUGGACAUUUUCAGAAUUAGUUUAGACUACUGAUAGUCCAUGAAAAGCAGGUAAGAUCCCCACUGCAAUGGUAAGUAGCAUUUGAAAAUUUCAGCGUGCUUUGCUGCAGCCAACCAGCUCAUUGUCAAAAAUCACAGUCACACUGAGAUUAAAGGAAUUCUAAGCAAAUAACAAUGCUAGAUACAAUUCAGUGUGGUUAUAUAAUGAAAUAAAACAUUAAGAAGGUUUUUUUUUGCUUGUUUGUGGGUUGGUUGGUUUUGUUUGGUUGUUUUGUUUUUUCUCCUCCUCCUAAAUGAAGUGUAGUGGCAUGGUGCUGAUUUUUGAAAAUUAAUUUUAUUUUCCUUAGUUGUACCAGUUUUGAUUUUCCCAUCAGUUCUCCUAUGUAGGGUCACCUGACAGAUUUAUUGUUGUUGUUUUGUUUUUAGGGAAAGGAACAUGUCCUGGAAAAAAUGCUCAUUUACAUGGAUAUGGACUAGUGUGCUUUCAGGAGAGAUUAUUUUAAAAGUCUAAGAGAAGUAAUUCUACAGACACUAAAGAAAAUGCAGGGGUUCCCUAUGUUUAGCACUCUCAGGCUACUUUGAUAAUCUCAGUUUAGGCCAAUAUAACAUAGAAUUCUCACCAGACCAAGCGUGUCACCCCACCCAGUGCCUGAAAACUGUACCAGUUGCCAGGCCAGUUCUUGCUUCUUCUUCACUGGUUGUUUAGCAGGUGGGUGCAGAGUGUGAGUGAGUUCUUGUGGCAGCACAAGUGCUGUCUACACAGAAAUAAAGCGAACAGCCAGUUUAAUGUGAAGCACUCAAUACUGACUCCGUGCUAUGGGGACUGCAGAGCAAUUGUUAUAUGUGCAUAUGCAGCUGGUAGACAUUUUCACAUAUCUGUAUCUUCUGGGACCUUUAGAAUUAGCCCAAAUAGAAAGCUCUUAAUUUAUCCCUAUACAAUUCAUGUGGCUGGAUGGCCCUGAAUGAAUGGUGCUAAAACCACACUGGAGGUAAUUCAAAAUACAUUGGUGUUUUUGGUUUUUUUUUGACCACUUGCAUACAUUGUAUUUCAGGAAUACUUCAAAUACUGAUAGUUUGUGUCCUCGAGAGUAUUUUGGGAGUUUGGUUUGGUUGUGAGCGUUUUAUUUUGUUACUUUUUUUUUUUUAACCAUUAAAAAUAACAUUUAAGAGUUACUCUUUAUCAACUAUUUAUCUAAAAAAGCACAGUUUAAAGUUCCUACUAGUUACUACACUGUCCCAGCGUCGAUGCAGAACUCCACUGCUAUGCUGUGUACCACAGCUUCCCUCAUUCUUGUCCCCCAAAAAUGUAAAGCAAAGCUCCCAGAGCUUCCCCAAGACCCUCCGUGAGGCCCCUCCAGGUGUUUGCUGUGGCAAAAGGGGUGGUAUUUUAACCUUUCUCUUCCUAGAGAUAUCUUUCCACAACUGUUUCAUUUAUGCAUCAAUCCUAUAAAUGUCUGAACUUAAAUCCUGAUUUGAGUUUUGGAGUUGCUAAUUGCUUCUGUUUUGUAAAUAUGAGUGGCUUAUCUGACUGGAGGCUGACAAACAUGUGCUAAUGGAUCUAUCACUUAGUAGUAGAAGACCAGUUUAAAUGUGGGAAUCAAAUAGAAAACUGACCAGUGGGGUUUACAAGAAAGUGACUAAAGCAGAAAAGCCAAGAGGGCCUCAUAUCAAGGAAAAAAACUCAAUAAUCAAAUGGGUUAUGACACUUCCCUAAAAGCUAUAGUCACAAACCCAACACAGGUGUUGUCUGAAUCAUAAAACAGAUUCUAUCAACAGAUUUACACAAUUUCAUAAAAGAAGGAUGAAGAGUUUUGAACAAGUUUGUCUGUUGAAGAGUGAAAUGGAAAAGAGCUAAAGAGCUAAGAUAACAAGAGAUAUUUGAAAAAGAAAACCCCAGCUCUGCUGCCUUACGUUUCCAUGUUUGGAAAAAGUAAUACAUAUGAAGAUAUAUACACAAUAGAUGUAUCUUCUAAAAUGAUAGUGACUUCCUUUUUGCACAAGUCUCUAGUGCACUUUCUGGGGGAUCAGGAAAGAGUGGCAAAGGGAAAGAACUAAGUAAGUUUCAUAGCCUAAAAAUGUGUAGAGUCAUUAUGAUUAAUAAAUAAGAAAGAUACAGGGGAGUUGAGAGGCUUGCUCCUGAAAUAUAUUUUGCUCCAUUUUAUUUUCCAGAGAAGUUCCAUAAAAUUAUGCCAGUGAAGAUCUUUUAUAAUGCUAUGAAUUAUGAAAAUAUUAAGACAAAAUGCAAAUUAAAACAGAAAUCACACCAAAAGAAAAUCCCUGAAAAGUUUUCCCAGGAAAUUCUAGCUUUCACAUUUCUUGAAAAUUUAUUUAUGUUUCAAUAUUGCUCUAUUAAAUGGAAAAAUGAUUUAUUAUUGCCACAAUCACUAGAAAUUUGUGAAAAUCUGUGCUGUGAAAAGGAAGAAAGGGGAAAAAAACAGGUAGACUCAAACAUUGUUUUUUAAUUGUGAAAUUGUGUUUAAUCUUGGUAUAAAUCAGUUGAAUAUUAUCUGUGUAAGGAAGUAAAGUUAGUAGUUUGAGCAAGUCUGCAUUAAGCCAGGAAAGUUAGUAAGAUCAGAGUGUUAAUCUGUAUUUUGUUUUUAACCAUUAAAAAUAUAUGUAACUUUCCUAUUUUGAAUAGCAUCUGUUUAGCAAGGAAACAACCCCAGCAUUAGUGAGAGUGCUGUAAUUAAGUCUCUUUAUUUUUCCAUUAAGGUGCUGAGCAAGAACGGGGCUCUUGCUUCUCCCGUGGGAAGCAAUCCCAAACACGACGUUGUGUCUGUUGCUGCUUCCUUAUGGCCUGUUCUCUCAGAAGAGUUCUUUAGGCUCCGGCUUUUGUCACAAGGGUCAAAAAGAUGUUUGUUUGGUAAAGGUGGGACAGUCACAUGCGUGUAUCUGCGUGUGUGUGUGCAUGUGCACUGAGAAAAAAAACAACCAACCAACCAAAACAGAUCACGUUUUAAGCCACACG